rnacentral:tRNA from 1 species
GGGGCCGUGAUCUAGUUUGGCUAUGAUUGGAGCUCGGGGAGCUUCCAACCCGUGUUCAAAUCACGGCGGCCCCACCA